rnacentral:tRNA from 1 species
GGUGGCUCAGUGGUUGAGCAUUUGCCUUGCAUGCAUGAGGCCCUGGGUUCGAUUCCUCAGCACCA